CAUCCUUCGACGUCCUUCUACUUAACUCUAAAAGUAGUUUCAUAUGGAGCGCGUCUGAAUGCCACGUCAAGCGUUCUACUCAACUUCUCAGCGUGUUUGGAGUUACUAUUCCAAUUUGAAAACAAUAUAGUAGAUUACUGGAAUAAACCACGGAGAAGUUGACAAGGGUAUUUUUUAAAUACGUGGGACUCCAACGCAGUUCGUACUAGGUCCUGCAAGCACAGUGAAGACGACGGGCCUGUGGUCAUUAUGAGGCAGCUGAAAGGAAAACCCAAAAAAGAGACAUCCAAGGACAAGAAGGAGCGAAAGCAGGCCAUGCAGGAAGCACGACAACAGGUUGCUACUAUUGUGCUGCCCACGCUGGCUCUAGUUGUGCUGCUCAUCAUCGUCUUUGUCUAUGUGGCCACCAGGCCUGAUGCUACCGAGUAGACUUUUCUUGAGGAAAAGAUUGGAACUCUGCUGUGCUUGAUUUUUUUAUUUUUUUUUUAUAAAGUUCAUAAAGUUUAUAAAGUUUGUUUCGCUUUAUACUGCUGGAAAGAGAAGAAUCAAUGGGAAUAAUAAAAAAAAAAACAGCUGAUAGUUUUGUGUUCCCACUGUCUCAAAAAUGAGACAGUAUUCUGCCUGUCAAAUGAUUCAUGCAUAUUUCAACGUUAGACCAGAGUUGUUGAAUGAGAAGAGUCGAAGUGUACGUCUUUCUAUCAUGACUUGUUCAAAGCAAUGUGAGACUAGUCUUGCACGUUACCGCUGUUCGGACAAUACUUACACUCGGGUACUUAAUGUAUGAAUGAAAAGCAUUGUUGAGAGAAUAUUAAGUUAUAACUCUCACGUAUAAUAUUGAAUGUAAGGAAAAUUGUGGAAGAAUUUGUUUUGCUGUUACCAUCACCAAAGCAUGCUCCACAAAUGUGUCAAUAUGGAAUAUGAAUGUUAUCCGACUCCUAUCAGUUAAAUUAUUGAUAUCUUACCUGUUGGUCACUUUUCUUAUGGGGAAUGGUAUUAAGGUGCCUUAAAAUGUAGUAUUUCUGUUUAAUAAAUAAUGUGUACCAUUUUAGGUUUAA